GCACUGAUGAAGAGUCCCACACCAGGACGAAGCGGCCGUCCAGCGC
rnacentral:hammerhead_ribozyme from 1 species